rnacentral:ncRNA from 1 species
GUAGCCCACCAAAGGACAGCAGGUUAGCAUUCCCUUGACAAGGAAGGAAGAGGGCCUCAGGCCUGAAAACACACACACAGACAAGUGGCCCACUAAAUACUGGCCUUUAUAGGCAAGAUUUG